CAAAACUUUCAACAACGGAUCUCUUGGUUCUGGCAUCGAUGAAGAACGCAGCGAAAUGCGAU
rnacentral:rRNA from 1 species